GAACACUUUUCUCAAAAGGGUUAUCGUUGCAAUUAAACUUUGCCGAUAAGGGGUGGAAAAGUUGGAAUCGGCAACAUGAAAAUAACUUCUCUUAUUGUCAGUGUUGUUAAGAAGAACAAGUUAUUGAGUGACGUCACUACUUCAAGUGUUGAACAACUUGUCAAGAUUUGGCUUAGGCAGUCCUGCGACCGCGAAGGAGGCAGAAAUGAUCCAGAACGAGGGAGUAAACGAUCACUCCAAAAAAAUUUAAUUCGAGACAAUCAAUUGUUAUAACUUAUAGUAAAAAUUAUAUAGUUUAACGGUUUAUUCUGAUGAAAUAUUUAAGCAUACGUUAA